rnacentral:rRNA from 1 species
GAUGAACGCUGGCGGCGUGCCUAAUACAUGCAAGUCGAGCGAACGGACGAGAAGCUUGCUUCUCUGAUGUUAGCGGCGGACGGGUGAGUAACACGUGGAUAACCUACCUAUAAGACUGGGAUAACUUCGGGAAACCGGAGCUAAUACCGGAUAAUAUUUUGAACCGCAUGGUUCAAAAGUGAAAGACGGUCUUGCUGUCACUUAUAGAUGGAUCCGCGCUGCAUUAGCUAGUUGGUAAGGUAACGGCUUACCAAGGCAACGAUGCAUAGCCGACCUGAGAGGGUGAUCGGCCACACUGGAACUGAGACACGGUCCAGACUCCUACGGGAGGUAGCAGUAGGGAAUCUUCCGCAAUGGGCGAAAGCCUGACGGAGCAACGCCGCGUGAGUGAUGAAGGUCUUCGGAUCGUAAAACUCUGUUAUUAGGGAAGAACAUAUGUGUAAGUAACUGUGCACAUCUUGACGGUACCUAAUCAGAAAGCCACGGCUAACUACGUGCCAGCAGCCGCGGUAAUACGUAGGUGGCAAGCGUUAUCCGGAAUUAUUGGGCGUAAAGCGCGCGUAGGCGGUUUUUUAAGUCUGAUGUGAAAGCCCACGGCUCAACCGUGGAGGGUCAUUGGAAACUGGAAAACUUGAGUGCAGAAGAGGAAAGUGGAAUUCCAUGUGUAGCGGUGAAAUGCGCAGAGAUAUGGAGGAACACCAGUGGCGAAGGCGACUUUCUGGUCUGUAACUGACGCUGAUGUGCGAAAGCGUGGGGAUCAAACAGGAUUAGAUACCCUGGUAGUCCACGCCGUAAACGAUGAGUGCUAAGUGUUAGGGGGUUUCCGCCCCUUAGUGCUGCAGCUAACGCAUUAAGCACUCCGCCUGGGGAGUACGACCGCAAGGUUGAAACUCAAAGGAAUUGACGGGGACCCGCACAAGCGGUGGAGCAUGUGGUUUAAUUCGAAGCAACGCGAAGAACCUUACCAAAUCUUGACAUCCUUUGACAACUCUAGAGAUAGAGCUUUCCCCUUCGGGGGACAAAGUGACAGGUGGUGCAUGGUUGUCGUCAGCUCGUGUCGUGAGAUGUUGGGUUAAGUCCCGCAACGAGCGCAACCCUUAAGCUUAGUUGCCAUCAUUAAGUUGGGCACUCUAAGUUGACUGCCGGUGACAAACCGGAGGAAGGUGGGGAUGACGUCAAAUCAUCAUGCCCCUUAUGAUUUGGGCUACACACGUGCUACAAUGGACAAUACAAAGGGCAGCGAAACCGCGAGGUCAAGCAAAUCCCAUAAAGUUGUUCUCAGUUCGGAUUGUAGUCUGCAACUCGACUACAUGAAGCUGGAAUCGCUAGUAAUCGUAGAUCAGCAUGCUACGGUGAAUACGUUCCCGGGUCU